rnacentral:rRNA from 1 species
GAGCGGAAAGGCCCUUCGGGGUACUCGAGCGGCGAACGGGUGAGUAACACGUGAGCAACCUGCCCUUAGCUCCGGGAUAGCUCCGGGAAACCGGAAUUAAUACCGGAUAUGACCACGGCCGACAUCUGCUGUGGUGGAAAGGAUUCCGGCUAAGGAUGGGCUCGCGGCCUAUCAGCUAGUUGGUGGGGUAACGGCCCACCAAGGCGACGACGGGUAGCCGGCCUGAGAGGGCGACCGGCCACACUGGGACUGAGACACGGCCCAGACUCCUACGGGAGGCAGCAGUGGGGAAUAUUGCGCAAUGGGCGAAAGCCUGACGCAGCGACGCCGCGUGGGGGAUGAAGGCCUUCGGGUUGUAAACCCCUUUCAGCAGGGACGAAGCGAAAGUGACGGUACCUGCAGAAGAAGCGCCGGCUAACUACGUG